rnacentral:rRNA from 1 species
GAUGAACGCUGGCGGCGUGCCUAAUACAUGCAAGUCGAGCGAACAGACGAGGAGCUUGCUCCUCUGACGUUAGCGGCGGACGGGUGAGUAACACGUGGAUAACCUACCUAUAAGACUGGGAUAACUCCGGGAAACCGGAGCUAAUACCGGAUAAUAUAUUGAACCGCAUGGUUCAAUAGUGAAAGACGGUUUUGCUGUCACUUAUAGAUGGAUCCGCGCCGCAUUAGCUAGUUGGUAAGGUAACGGCUUACCAAGGCAACGAUGCGUAGCCGACCUGAGAGGGGGACCGCCCCAACGGGAACUGAACCACGGUCCAGCCCCCUACGGGAGGCAGCAGUAGGGAACCUUCCGCAAUGGGGGAAAGCCUGACGGAGCAACGCCGGGGGGGUGAUGAAGGUUUUCGGUUCGUAAAACUCUUUUAUUAGGGAAGAAAAAAUGUGUAAGUAACUAUGCACGUUUUGACGGUACCUAAUCAGAAAGCCACGGCUAACUACGU